UCACCUGUUUAUCAAAAACAUGGUUUUAAGAAUAAAAUUUAAAAUCUAAUCUGCUCAAUGAAAUUUUUAAAUAGCUGCAGUAUUAAUAACUGUACUAAGGUAGCAUAAUAAUUAGUUUUUUAAUUGAAAACUAGAAUGAAUGAUUGAAUGAAAAAUAAACUGUUUCUUAAUAAAAAUAAUUUAAAUUAUAAUUUAAGUAAAAAUACUUAAAUAAUUUAAAAAGACAAGAAGACCCUAUAGAAUUUUAUUAUAAAUUUUUAAAUUAAUAUAUUAAAAUUAAAUUUUAUAAAAAAUUAUAAUUUAAUUGGGGCAAUUAUAAAAUUUAAUAAAUUUUUAUAUUAUAUAAACAUUAUAAAUGAAUUUAAAUAAUUUAAUUUUUAAUAUAAUAAAUUUAAUUACCUUAGGGAUAACAGCAUAAUUUUAUUUUUUAGUUCUUAUAAAUAAUAAAUUUUAUGACCUCGAUGUUGAAUUAAAAAAAAAUUAAAUGAAAAAAAUUAUUAUACUAAGUC
rnacentral:rRNA from 1 species